GGAGGGGGGAGGGCGGUUAGAGACAGAACCUACGGCCUUCCACAUACUAGGCAAGUAUUCUACCAUACAACUGCACUCCUAACCUGAUGUACUAUUUCUACUGAAAACCAUUAGUGCUCUUAACCUCUGAGCCAGUGGUUCUCAACUUUCCUAAUACUAGGACUCUUUCAUACAUACAGCUCCUCAUAUUGGAGAGAGGAGUGGUCUGUGGAGGUUGACUGAUCCUUUCACAGGGGUCACCUAAGACUAUUGGGAACCACAGAUAAUUAUAUUAUGGCCCAUAACAUUGAAAAUUUAGUUAUGAAGUAACAAUAAAAAGAAAUUUGUGUUUGGGGAAUCACCACAACAUAAGAAACCCUGCCUCAAAAAAACCAAACCUAACCAAAAAAUGAAGCAAAUAAUACUCCACUCUAUGCGAGGCAUCCAUCUUGGUACCCACUGGCCAUUUGCCUCUGCUAGGCAUCCAUCUUGGUACCCACUGGCCAUUUGCCUCUGCUAGGCAUCCAUCUUGGUACCCACUGGCAUCCAUCUUGGUACCCACUGGCCAUUUGUCUCUGGUUCUAGCCCUUGGUACCCACUGGCCAUUUGCCUCUGGUUCUAGCCCUUGGUACCCACUGGCCAUUUGCCUC
rnacentral:lncRNA from 1 species